GGGUGACUGCGUACCUUUUGUAUAAUGGGUCAGCGACUUAUAUUCUGUAGCAAGGUUAACCGUAUAGGGGAGCCGUAGGGAAACCGAGUCUUAACUGGGCGAAUAAGUUGCAGGGUAUAGACCCGAAACCCGGUGAUCUAGCCAUGGGCAGGUUGAAGGUUGGGUAACACUAACUGGAGGACCGAACCGACUAAUGUUGAAAAAUUAGCGGAUGACUUGUGGCUGGGGGUGAAAGGCCAAUCAAACCGGGAGAUAGCUGGUUCUCCCCGAAAGCUAUUUAGGUAGCGCCUCGUGAACUCAUCUUCGGGGGUAGAGCACUGUUUCGACUAGGGGGUCAUCCCGACUUACCAACUCGAUGCAAACUACGAAUACCGAAGAAUGUUAUCACGGGAGACACACGGCGGGUGCUAACGUUCGUCGUGAAGAGGGAAACAACCCAGACCGCCAGCUAAGGUCCCAAAGUCAUAGUUAAGUGGGAAACGAAGUGGGAAGGCUCAGACAGCCAGGAUGUUGGCUUAGAAGCAGCCAUCAUUUAAAGAAAGCGUAAUAGCUCACUGGUCGAGUCGGCCUGCGCGGAAGAUGUAACGGGGCUAAACUAUGCACCGAAGCUGCGGCAGCGAUAUGUAAAUAUUGUUGGGUAGGGGAGCGUUCUGUAAGCCUGUGAAGGUGUGCUGUGAGGCAUGCUGGAGGUAUCAGAAGUGCGAAUGCUGACAUAAGUAACGAUAAUGCGGGUGAAAAACCCGCACGCCGGAAGACCAAGGGUUCCUGUCCAACGUUAAUCGGGGCAGGGUGAGUCGACCCCUAAGGCGAGGCAGAAAUGCGUAGUCGAUGGGAAACGGGUUAAUAUUCCCGUACUGGUGAUAAUUGCGAUGGGGGGACGGAGAAGGCUAGGCUAUCCGGGCGACGGUUGUCCCGGUUUAAGGAUGUAGGCAGGUGAAUUAGGCAAAUCCGGUUCACUAUAUGCUGAGGUCCGA
rnacentral:rRNA from 1 species